rnacentral:lncRNA from 1 species
GAAGUGCGAAAGCUGAUACGAGAGCCUUGCGAGGUUUUGAUCGACAUUCGGGGUGAAGAAUGUUUGUCGAGGCUUCGCGGCGGUUGUCACGGGCUCGAUGGGGAGUUCCGGGUCGUGACAAGAUCAAUCAAGUUUAAAAGCAUUUUUCAUUCCUUCUCAAAGCAGAUUAAGAUCAAUCAAUUUUGUCAUUUGAAAAUCAGAGUAAAGCUAACACUUUUGUUUUCCAAGGAGGUUAGGCUUUUUCCUUGUUAUGGUGGCUUAAAAAUAUCUUUAUUGAUUUUAGUUAAAGGUUUCUCUUCCUAUUUUUGUGUGUAUUCUAGCUGGUAAAAAAGUAGGAUUAGGGUUUCUACAAUUUUUUUCUUUUCUAAUGUUUUUGUUUUUUUAGUUUUUGUUUUUCUUGGAGCUUCCUCCUCUUGCUUUUUGGGGAUUGUGGGUUUUUCUGCCCAUGAUCAGCUAAGUGGGGUCGGGUGAUUGUACCUUGGUGACACCCGACUAGGCACAAGAAUAUUGCGCUUGGCAAGGUCAUCCUCACAUACUGUCAAUGUGCACGAGUGUGGCAGAGUUGGGCAUGGCUUUAUCAGCAAUCUCAGUUGGCCAUUGUUCAUUUGUUUUUUUUUCCUUUUUAUUUUUUCUAGAAUGAGUUUUGCUUUAAUCUUGUUCAAAUUCUAUUUUAGUCUUGUUUUAUUUUGGUUGUGCUUUCAUGUUUUUUAAUCUUAAUCACUUUUAAUAAAUAUGUUUUAAG